GGGGCCGUAGUCUAGCUUGGCACGCGCUGUUUAUAAGUGUGUGAGCAAUAGGAUUCACCCUUGGGGUGGGUGCGACCGGAGUUCAAAUCUUCGCGGCCCCA
rnacentral:tRNA from 1 species